CAGUAGCCACGGUAAUACGAAGGGUGCAAGCGUUAAUCGGAAUUACUGGGCGUAAAGCGUGCGUAGGCGGUGAGUUAAGUCUGCUGUGAAAUCCCCGGGCUCAACCUGGGAAUGGCAGUGGAUACGGGCUCGCUAGAGUGUGUCAGAGGAUGGUGGAAUUCCCGGUGUAGCGGUGAAAUGCGUAGAGAUCGGGAGGAACAUCAGUGGCGAAGGCGGCCAUCUGGGACAACACUGACGCUGAGGCACGAAAGCGUGGGGAGCAAACAGGAUUAGAUACCCCCGUAGUCCCUGUCUCUUAUAC
rnacentral:rRNA from 1 species